UUCGAACACCCGGCUUCCGUGCCCCGAAAGCAGCCCUAUCACCUUCUCGCUUCUCUUUUGUUCUUCUCUCAGCCAUCAUCUUCUUCCGUUUCAACUUCACCCAACGUCCACCAUCAUUACCACCACAGCGCCUCACCGUCCACCCACUUUCCCCCUCUUCGUCCCUUUCCUCUCUUCUUCCUCUCUCUUGCCCCUUCCCUUCCCCAUUCCCGGUUCUCUUCUCCUCUGCCACCCAACCGCCGCGGCACCCAACCUUCGCCGCUGCGUCCUUACCCCGCGACCCUCUACCCUCUUCUCCCCCACGCGUCUCUUCUCAGCGUCGAACCACCGCUCGGGCCAGUGCCGCCGUCGAAGCUCUUCCCCUCUCUCUAUCUCACUCGCAGAACCACCGAACCGAAGCCCAGGACCACAGCGCCGCCAGCAACCCUGAUCGCAGCUGCCGCUGCCCUGCUUCCACCGCGCCUCCCUUCCCCCUGUCCGAACCCUAGCGCCGCCCAGGUCCGCUGAACCUUCGCAAACCCCCCUCUCCACACACGAGCCUCUCCCCCCAGUUUCUCUUCACUGCCUGGGACACCCAGAACAGGGCAGAGCCCCUAUUUCCGUAUCACUGCAACCCACAGUAGCCAGCAUUGCUGCCGCACCACCUUCGCUGCCGCUUCUGCUCCAGCCGCCCAUUUCACACCACCUCCAUCCUCCCUUUCCUUCCUUGAUCCAAUUUUCUGCUUCCCAGCCACUCCAUCGCCUAACCCACCAGCUGAAAGUGGAGGUGACACAGUGACGACUCUUUCCACAGUGACGACUCUUUCCACUCCGCCUGAUCGUGAGCACCGAGGAUGGUGCUACAUCUUAAGUGUGGGGAGGUUGUCUAACUUCAGCAGCGCAUUUUGGGUGAAAUUUUUCAUUUCCGAACACUCUUAGUUUAGUUUUAUUAUUGUGCAUUUUAGUUUCUUUGUAUAUAUUUCAUCUUUUUGAAAACCUUUUUACUUAUUUUAGUACUUUUUACUUAGUUCACUGCAUCUUUUAAUUUUGCUUGUACAUAGCCUAGUAUUAUAUUGUAGUUAUGCAUGUUUUUAGAUUUCUUUUAUAGCUUUUAGUUAUAAUUGUGAUUUGGAUGAUGUGAUGAUUGCACCUGGUUUGAUGUUCUAUACACUUGCUAUUUUGGUUUGAUUAAAAUUUGGAAUUAAACUUAGGAUUUUUGACCUUUUCUAUCCAAUCACAUUAUAUAUACAUGUAUAGAAUAAAUGUUAAUCAAUUUAAUAAAAUUUCCAAGAAGCUUACUUUUUAUAUAGGGCAUUGACAUUCAAAUUGAAUUGAGUUGAAAUUUUUUGAAACUUGCAUGAUUUAUAUAUUGUGAAAUAUGGUUUUUGAGUUAAAGAACAUACAACUUGUGAGUUUUUGAGCCUUAUUGUGUGGUAACAUUAUUUGACCACUUAUUUCAUUCUUGUGUUUUCUUCUCUAUGAUUGUAACAUUUGGUUUGUUUAAUUCUAUAUAUCCAUUAUUUAAUGUAUAUUUAUGCAUUUAUGUGAUUGAUGCCUUUAUUUCAAAUAGCUCACUUACCCAAAUAAUCUACUCUUUUAUCUUCCUUUGUUAACCAACUUUGAGCCUAUUUUAAUUCCCUUUUGUUCUUUAUAUUAUCACAUCACUACUUUUAAGCGAAAAACAAUUAAUUGUCCUAUUUGAAUCUUUGGUUAGCUUGGGAUAGUGAGUGUGUGUGUCAACUAAGUGUGGGGAAGAUUUGGAAACCUUGGGUUGAUGAAAAUGUUUUAUGCUUAUUGAGAAAUAUUAGGAAAUUUGGGUACAUGCUCAUGUAAUACUAUAAAAACCAUAUGCAUUAAUGUUUUGGUAUAUAUAUUAUGUUCUUGAAAAAAAAAAGAAAAGAAAAGAAAAAGAAAUAAUGAAAAGGCGACAAAAUUACUCCAAUGUGAAAUUUAAUAAAAGUCAAUGCAUAUGUGAUUGAAGUAAAUUUGAUGCAUGAGUGUGUGUAUAUGUAAAAGUGAGAUUAUGGGUAGCUAAGCUUGAUAUUAGAAGUUUAUAGGUUGUGUAUGUGUUAGGUGAUAACUUAGGUUAAUCAAAGAUUCAAAUGCAAGCACACUUGGCCAUAUAUAUAUCCUUAUCCUUACCCUUA